CUUAAAACAUUUCAGUCAUUUUCUAGGGUUUCUAGAGAGCUCGAGCGGUGGCGAUUUUGGGGCGACUGUGCUGUGUGCUUGUUUGGCUAAAAUCCACCAAACCGACCACCGAUCUUUGCUCUUUUGUUGUCUUGGUCGAAGAACAAGGCAAGAAUCGGAGAAUCUAAAGCGAUUAUGGCUCGAAAAUAGGUCAUCGUAUAAGCGAUUGUGGCGAUUUUGUGGCGACUCUACACUAUGUGCUUGUUUGGCUGAAAACGAUGACCGAUCCUUGCUUUCAGUGGUGUUUUUGCUCAAUCUGACCAUCGAUCUUUUCCAUUUGUUGUCUUCGUCGAAGAUCAAGGCAGUGACCCUCAUAUAUUUCUAGUUUCUGGCAAAAUUAAACCUGUUUAUGAGAAGGCAUUGGUGUUGUAUACUGACACCUCAAACUUUAUCACUUGAUGCAACUUGUAAGUGGUUUUCCUCUCUAGGAUUCAUAACUCUAGAUUACAUAUUUCCUAUGCGUGUAUAUUUUAGUUUAAAGUGAUUGGUUGAAUUUGAAUACCGCAUAACCAUAUAUACUUUUUACUGUUAUUCUGAAACAAUUAAGUAGAAUUAAAGAAGAAAGAUACCAUAGCAUGUGAAUUGAGCAAGGCUAUGUAGUUAAAUAGAAGACUGUGUUGAUCAAUCAAUGAAUUUGAGGUUUCAAUUUUUAGUUGAGUAUUGAGGAGUACUAUUUCCAGUUUCACUUCACUUCUAAUGUACUUACCAAUUCUGUGCUAUGUAAAAUGCAAAUGGCUUUAGAUGAUCCUCUUGAUGUAUUUUUAACAAAUUUAACCCAAAAUAUUUGCUUUGUUUUUUGUUCUAUUUUUCUCUUGAUAUUGGCAUGUUCAUUCAAUACCACUUUGGAAUCACUCUCUCACAAUCUAUGUCUAUGUAUCAAGAUAUCAAACUUGGUCAAAAUCUCGAUGUUUGUCAAUACUGACAUAUGUCCUCCCCAGUUUUAGCUGUCUAGUAGAAUUGUGCGACCAAACAAAUUGGAUGCUCUUAUAUGCCAGACGGGAGCCUGUAUUAAAUAAAUUAUGACCUAGUUUUUAUUUGUGUUUUGGCAUGCCAAAUUUCUUACUUGUUGAUGUUGUUUCUGCAAAUUUAGUUCAAGGAAUAUGAGUUCCUUUUAAUACUUAAAUGAUGCUAUAGCCCAUAGAUGGUUAAUGAUCUGUUUUCCUAUCCCUGGUGUGUCUGUGUAACAGGGAGUUCAUGAUAUAUUCCAAGGUUCACCGGAUCGGUCGUCCAGAUGAACCAAGAAUAAACAAGAUUGUGUUCAUUGGGAAAAAGUUAGACGGACAGGAAUUAGAGAAAGGUUUCUAGUCUUGUUUACUGUAAUAGUAGUAUCUAAUUAAACAUUUGGGAUUGUGAUUUUUUUUUCUGGUCUAACAUAUUGUACUCUGUCAUAAGUGGAUAUGUACUGGGACUUGGGGAUAAAUUGUUUUUUUUUUCGAAAAUCACUUGGGGAUAAAUUGUUGUUGUCAAUAAGAACCUCAAGUUUCCUGGAUUUUUUGAAGAAUGAUGAAUAUAAUAUAUGCAGUAAGCCAUUAACUUUUUA